rnacentral:rRNA from 1 species
GACGAAUGCUGGCUGCGUGCUUAACACAUGCAAGUCGAACGGUGAAGGAGGGCUUGCCCUCCGGAUCAGUGGCGAACGGGUGAGUAACACGUGGGCAACCUGCCCCUCACUCUGGGAUAACGCCGGGAAACCGGCGCUAAUACCGGAUACGACCAGGCGCGACAUCUCGCCUGGUGGAAAGAAUUUCGGUGAGGGAUGGGCCCGCGGCCUAUCAGCUAGUUGGUGGGGUAACGGCCCACCAAGGCGACGACGGGUAGCCGGCCUGAGAGGGCGACCGGCCACACCGGGACUGAGACACGGCCCAGACUCCGACGGGAGGCAGCAGUGGGGAAUAUUGCGCAAUGGGCGAAAGCCUGACGCAGCGACGCAGCGUGGGGGACGAAGGCCUUCGGGUUGUAAACCUCUUUCAGCGGGGACGAAGCGAAAGUGACGGUACCCGCAGAAGAAGCACCGGCUAACUACGUGCCAGCAGCCGCAGUAACAC